AACCAUGCAAUGGUGGCAACCUGCACGUAUUCAGACAAAAAUCUCCUGAUAAGACAGAAGCAUAGAUCACCAUUUGUAGCAAACUACAUUAGGAAGUUUAGUUUCAUAGCCAUUGUUUAAGGGGACAGAAAUCAAUACAGGUAUGAUAUAACAAAUUUAGCAGUCAAAGCCUCAAAGGACUAAUGAUUGGGAUGCCAAUCAACCACAGGUAAAGCAUUGUGUAUCUUUAAGACAAGGAUCAUCCCUUUAUCUGUGUAAUUUCACAUCAAGAAUUCUUUGCAAAUGAAAAGAUGCCUAAGACGCUUCUCACUUCCCAAAUAAUAUAAAUCCUCCUACAUUUAUAUUUUUUAAACACUGGUUCAAGAAUAUGCAAGAAUGCACUUCGAAUGGCUUAGGGCCUGUUUACUUAGAGAGAAU
rnacentral:misc_RNA from 1 species